UGACCUCCGCGCUCCCGCUCUGAAAGGGCCUGAAUGGAGCCGUUUAUGGUGCAUUACCAGUCAAGGGCUCAGGGUCUCCCUCCCCUAGCGACCCGGAUUAUGGCCUCCCUCCCCUUGCAGGACACUCUCUCUCAUGGACUGAUGAAAAACAACUCAGAGAACAAAAUAUUAUCCGAACAGCCAAAGUUUGGACCCCAGAGGACCCCAGAAAACUCAACAGCAAAUCUUCCUUCAACAACAUAGAAAACGAACCUCCCUUUGAGUUUGUGUCCUGAGAAGUUCACGACCCGGCUGAGAAUCUGAUUACAUAUUGUACAUGUAAAUAUCUAUAAUGUAAAUGUAAUUUAAGAAUCAAGUUUUUGUAAUGGCAAUCAACUGUUUGUUAUUUAUCUAUUUAUUAUCCUGUUGAGUUAAUGAAAUAGAUGAUCUUUUUAAAAGUAUAUAAUUUAUCUAAUUUAUCUUGAUUUUCUAAAAAUAUGCAAUAGCCUAUGAUUCCCUCGGCACCUUUGGCAGAACUCUGCGUUGUUGAAAGAACUCUGGCCAGAAAACUUCUUGCUUAUUUAUUGCCAAAUAUGGUUUAUUUUUAAAGCGUUGUUAAUAAAUGCUAUUUACACUCUUUUCUA